UUUUCCGGUUGAUCCUGCCAGCGGUCAUUGCUAUCCGGAUACGACUAAGCUAUGCGAGCCGAGAGGGGUAAGCCCUCGGCGCACUGCUCCGCAAUACGCAGAUAACCUAACCUUGAGAGGGGAAUACCCUCGGGAAACUGAGCUCAAUACCCCAUAGGCACUUGGUGCUGGAAUGCUCUUGUGUCAGAAGCUCCGGCGCUCAAGGAUGGGUCUGCGGCCUAUCAGGCUGUUGUUGGUGUAAUGAACCAACAAACCGAUAACGGGUACGGGCUAUGUAAGUAGAAGCCCGGAGAUGGAUUCUGAGACAUGAAUCCAGGCACUACGGUGUGCAGCAAGCGCGAAACCUUUACAAUGCAUUCACGUGCGAUAAGGGAAUCUGGAGUGCUUCAGUUUUACUGAAGCUUUUGCUUACUGUAAAUAGGUAGGCGAAUAAGGGCUGGGUAAUACGGGUGCCAGCCGCCGCGGUAAUACCCGAGGCCCAAGUGAUGGCCACUUUUAUUGGGUCUAAAGCGUCCGUAGCCUGUCUUGUAAGUUCCUGGUGAAAUCUUCCAGCAAACUGGAAGGCGUGCUGGGAAUACUGCAACGGCUUGAGACCAGGAGAGGCAAGAGGUACUUAUGGGGUAGGGGUUAAAUCCUAUAAUCCCAUAGGGACCACCUGUGGCGAAGGCGUCUUGCUGGAAUGGGUCUGACGGUGAGGGACGAAAGCGUGAGUAGCGAUCGGGAUUAGAUACCCCGGUAGUCCACGCUGUAAACGAUGCCCGUUUGGUAUAGCAGACUUCUUGGGAGUUUGCCGUGCCGUAGCGUAGGUGUUAAACGGGCCACCUGGGGAGUACGUCCGCAAGGAUGAAACUUAAAGGAAUUGGCGGGA
rnacentral:rRNA from 1 species